AUUGAACGCUGGCGGCAGGCCUAACACAUGCAAGUCGAACGGCAACAGGAAACAGCUUGCUGUUUCGCUGACGAGUGGCGGACGGGUGAGUAAUGUCUGGGAAACUGCCUGAUGGAGGGGGAUAACUACUGGAAACGGUAGCUAAUACCGCAUAACGUCGCAAGACCAAAGAGGGGGACCUUCGGGCCUCUUGCCAUCGGAUGUGCCCAGAUGGGAUUAGCUAGUAAGUGGGGUAACGGCUCACCUAGGCGACGAUCCCUAGCUGGUCUGAGAGGAUGACCAGCCACGCUGGAACUGAGACACGGUCCAGACUCCUACGGGAGGCAGCAGUGGGGAAUAUUGCACAAUGGGCGCAAGCCUGAUGCAGCCAUGCCGCGUGUAUGAAGAAGGCCUUCGGGUUGUAAAGUACUUUCAGCGGGGAGGAAGGGAGUAAAGUCAAUACCUUUGCUCAUUGACGUUACCCGCAGAAGAAGCACCGGCUAACUCCGUGCCAGCAGCCGCCGUAA
rnacentral:rRNA from 1 species